UAUAUAUAGAAAAGUUAACCCUAACUCCUCUUCCCAGUUCCCACUUCCCACUUCCAACAUAGAGCGCCGCAUUUGUUGUUCAACAGUGCUCCUCUCCUCGCGAAACCCUUCGUCUCUCUCUGCACCCUUCCUCUGCAUUCUCUCCGUCGUCCUAGCCAGCAACCUCCGACCACGAUCGACACCCCUACUCGUCACUGUCCGUUUCAGCCGGCCCACACUGCAUCAUCACCGCACCGCCCCGUGCGCCCUGUUUCGUUCGCUCUCUUCCCGUCGUUCGUCGCUCUUCUCUUCAUUGGCGUUUCUGACCUCUUCAGCCAUUUCUCUCUUAUCCCUGGAUGGAUAGUUUAAGCUCGACUCCUAUUGAUAAUAAUAAUGAGACAGAACCAACUCAAGAUGCCGAGGGUCAAGCAAUUGAAGCACAUGUCCAAGGAACACAAGAGGAAGGACAAGAAGAGACACAAGAGGGAGGGCAAGAAGUUAGCCAAAGUGUGAAAAAUAGUCCUAACAAAAAAGGAUUAACUUCUGAGGCUUGGAAACAUUUUAGGAGAGAGCAAAUAGAUGGAAAGUGGAAGGCAAUAUGUAAAUAUUGCGAAAGAAAGAUUGGAGGUGACACGAAGCACGGAACUAAGCACUUGCAUGAUCACAUUAGAAUUUGCCCGAUUCGUACUGUCAGGGGACCAAAGCAAUCAAUAUUAAAAAUAAUGCAGCAAUCAUCAGGUUCGACAGGAACGGGAAGGCCAACGGAUUCACUUUUGGUUGGAAACUUCACAUUUAGUCAAGAGGGAGCACGACGAGCAUUAACAAGAUAGGUUAUUAGGGACGAACACCCUAUGUCGUUUGUUGAGCAACAAGGUUUUCAUGAGUUUAUGGCUGAGACUCAACCUUUGUUCAAAUUUUAUACAAGAAAUACACUGAGAAGUGAUGUUGAGAAGAUGUAUGAAGCUGAAAAGGCAAAGCUUCUAAAAUUGUUGGGAAAAAAUUCAAGCCGCAUUGCUAUAACUACUGAUAUGUGGAGUGCUGAUUGUCAAAACAAAGGCUAUAUGGCGAUUACAGCUCACUUUAUUGAUGAUGAUUGGAACUUGCAAAAUCGGCUUGUAAGGUAAAUCAGGGUCGAAAAUUCCAAUUCCUUGGGACUAUAUGAUGGAUAUGGAG